rnacentral:tRNA from 1 species
GUCAGGAUGGCCGAGCGGUCUAAGGCGCCAGACUCAAGGUAACCUUGCCUACGCAGUAGGUCGAGCUGUUCUGGUCCUCUUUGAGGGCGUGGGUUCGAAUCCCACUUCUGACA